GUACCAACAUCAGAAUUAUUUUGAAUAAAAUCUCAGCUUAUUUAAUACGACUCGUUCAGAGUUUUACAAGUUCUUAGAAUCGUUGAAAAUGUUGAUCCCGAAUAGUGCAAAAAUAUUUUUCCACCGAAGAAGGAACCUCCGUAAUUAUCUAUUUAUCCGUAGAAUUUUGGUAAAAAUAUUUUGGCCAAUCGCUCGUCAUAAUUAAGUAUAUAGACGAAAUUAGUUCUGGUUUCAAUUGACGCAAUUUCCAGUCCUUAUUGUGCGUGCUCAUCGUAUGUUUUAAUAUUUUUCAAUUACUGCGAGCAAA